rnacentral:piRNA from 1 species
GGGAUAUUCUGUGGGAAUUGCUUUCUUAGA